rnacentral:rRNA from 1 species
UCCAUGUGUAGCGGUGGAAUGCGUAGAUAUAUGGAAGAACACCAGUGGCGAAGGCGGCUGUCUGGUCUGCAACUGACGCUGAGGCUCGAAAGCAUGGGUAGCGAACAGGAUUAGAUACCCUGGUGGUCCAUGCCGUAAACGAUGAGUGCUAGGUGUUGGAGGGUUUCCGCCCUUCAGUGCCGCAGCUAACGCAUUAAGCACUCCGCCUGGGGAGUACGACCGCAAGGUUGAAACUCAAAGGAAUUGACGGGGGCCCGCACAAGCGGUGGAGCAUGUGGUUUAAUUCGAAGCUACGCGAAGAACCUUACCAGGUCUUGACAUCUUGCGCUAACCUAAGAGAUUAGGCGUUCCCUUCGGGGACGCAAUGACAGGUGGUGCAUGGUCGUCGUCAGCUCGUGUCGUGAGAUGUUGGGUUAAGUCCCGCAACGAGCGCAACCCUUGUUACUAGUUGCCAGCAUUCAGUUGGGCACUCUAGUGAGACUGCCGGUGACAAACCGGAGGAAGGUGGGGACGACGUCAGAUCAUCAUGCCCCUUAUGACCUGGGCUACACACGUGCUACAAUGGCCGGUACAACGAGCAGCUAACCCGCGAGGGUGUGCAAAUCUCUUAAAGCCGGUCUCAGUUCGGACUGCAGUCUGCAACUCGACUGCACGAAGUCGGAAUCGCUAGUAAUCGCGGAUCAGCAUGCCGCGGUGAAUACGUUCCCGGGCCUUGUACACACCGCCCGUCACACCAUGGAAGUUUGCAAUGCCCAAAGUCAGUGGCCUAACCAUUU